AUUGAACGCUGGCGGCAGGCUUAACACAUGCAAGUCGAGCGGAGCGAGGGUGCUUGCACCUUAGCUUAGCGGCGGACGGGUGAGUAAUGCUUAGGAAUCUGCCUAUUAGUGGGGGACAACAUUCCGAAAGGAAUGCUAAUACCGCAUACGCCCUACGGGGGAAAGCAGGGGAUCUUCGGACCUUGCGCUAAUAGAUGAGCCUAAGUCGGAUUAGCUAGUUGGUGGGGUAAAGGCCUACCAAGGCGACGAUCUGUAGCGGGUCUGAGAGGAUGAUCCGCCACACUGGGACUGAGACACGGCCCAGACUCAUACGGGAGGCAGCAGUGGGGAAUACUGGACAAUGGGCGGAAGCCUGAUCCAGCCAUGCCGCGUGUGUGAAGAAGGCCUUUUGGUUGUAAAGCACUUUAAGCGAGGAGGAGGCUACUUAGAUUAAUACUCUAGGAUAGUGGACGUUACUCGCAGAAUAAGCACCGGCUAACUCUGUGCCAGCCGCCGCUGUAAGAC
rnacentral:rRNA from 1 species